UGGGGAAUCUUCCGCAAUGGACGAAAGUCUGACGGAGCAACGCCGCGUGAGUGAAGACGGCCUUCGGGUUGUAAAGCUCUGUGAUCCGGGACGAAAGAGCCUGAGGUGAAUAGCCUAAGGAAGUGACGGUACCGGAAAAGCAAGCCACGGCUAACUCCGUGCCAGCAGCCGCGGUAAUACGGAGGGUGCAAGCGUUAAUCGGAAUUACUGGGCGUAAAGCGCACGUAGGCUGCUUUGUAAGUCAGGGGUGAAAUCCCACGGCUCAACCGUGGAACUGCCUUUGAUACUGCUUAGCUUGAAUCCGGGAGAGGGUGGCGGAAUUCCAGGUGUAGGAGUGAAAUCCGUAGAUAUCUGGAGGAACAUCAGUGGCGAAGGCGGCCACCUGGACCGGUAUUGACGCUGAGGUGCGAAAGCGUGGGGAGCAAACAGG
rnacentral:rRNA from 1 species